CCUACGGGUGGCAGCAGUGGGGAAUAUUGCACAAUGGGGGAAACCCUGAUGCAGCGACGCCGCGUGAGUGAAGAAGUAAUUCGUUACGUAAAGCUCUAUCAGCAGGGAAGAAACACUGACCUUACGGUCAGCAGACGGUACCUGAGUAAGAAGCCCCGGCUAACUACGUGCCAGCAGCCGCGGUAAUACGUAGGGGGCAAGCGGUAUCCGGAUUUAUUGGGUUUAAAGGGUGCGUAGGCGGACUGUUAAGUCAGCGGUAAAAGCCCGGGGGUCAACCCCGGCGAGCCGUGGAAACUGGCUGUCUUGAGAGGUCGAGAGGUAUGCGGAAUGCGCAGUGUAGCGGUGAAAUGCUUAGAUAUUGCGCAGAACUCCGAUUGCGAAGGCCGCAUACCGGCGGCGAUCUGACGCUGAGGCACGAAAGCGUGGGUAUCGAACAGGAUUAGAUACCCCUGUAGUC
rnacentral:rRNA from 1 species